UGAUGCAAGGUCAGGAGCCCCCAGAGUUCUGGGAGGCGCUAGGCGGGGAGCCCUCUGAGAUCAAGAAGCACGUGCCCGAUGACUUCUGGCCACCUCAGCCCAAGCUGUAUAAGGUGGGCCUGGGCCUAGGCUAUCUGGAGCUGCCGCAGAUCAACUACAAGCUCUCCGUGGAACAUAAGACCCGUCCCAAGGUGGAGCUGCUGCCCAGGAUGCGGCUGCUGCAGAGCCUCCUGGACACGCGCUGCGUAUACAUCCUGGACUGUUGGUCAGACGUGUUCAUCUGGCUGGGCCGCAAGUCCCCGCGCCUGGUGCGCGCCGCCGCCCUCAAGCUGGGCCAGGAGCUGUGCGGGAUGUUGCACAGGCCGCGCCACGCCGCAGUCAGCCGCAGCCUGGAGGGCACCGAGGCGCAGGUGUGGAGUGCGAGCACA